rnacentral:lncRNA from 1 species
GGAGUCGAUCUUUGUGGUGACCUCGGUGGUGAGAGUGGCUAUUUGUGCGGAUAGGUCAGUGGAUGGUGAUGCCACCUUAGCCAGCACAGUCUGUUCAGACUUAAUGAUAGCCGCCAUUACCUUGGCUAGGUGGGGGGAGUCCGUGUCCGGUGAGCCCGAGGCUUUAGGUCAGAGUCCGUGUCCGGUGAACCCGAGGCUUUAGGUCAGAGUCCGUGUCCGGUGAGCCCGAGGCUUUAGGUCAGAGUCCGUGUCCGGUGAACCCGAGGCUUUAGGUCAGAGUCCGUGUCCGGUGAGCCCGAGGCUUUAGGUCAGAGUCCGUGUCCGGUGAACCCGAGGCUUUAGGUCAGAGUCCGUGUCCGGUGAGCCCGAGGCUUUAGGUCAGAGUCCGUGUCCGGUGAACCCGAGGCUUUAGGUCAGAGUCCGUGUCCGGUGAGCCCGAGGCUUUAGGUCAGAGUCCGUGUCCGGUGAACCUGAGGCUUUAGUAGAGGCCUGCUCUUUUGUGACCUGUGGCCGUUGUUGUUUCGUCAUUUUACAAUGAAAAGGCCAAAAAUGUCUGAAAAAAUUGUCAAAUUAGUGAAUUGGGUUUGAUUUCGAAUUAAAUGUUACAAAAUGAACACGGUAGGAAAGGUGCAGGUCAAGUAUUAAUAGUAAAUUGUUCUCCCAGGAGCACCGAAAAAAC